rnacentral:misc_RNA from 1 species
GAUCCUAUUAUCCAAUCCCCAGUUUGCUGCAUGUAUCAAACAAGGCAAUUUUCAUACAACAAAAAGAAAGAAUGAAGAUCUUUUGACAGUCCAAAAUUACUUUUUCAAUUACCCCAUCAUUUGAAUGAAACAAACAAUGAAAGUAAAGGGCAUAAUUAAACAAGAUAAUCUCAGGAAGAAAUUUGAACCCAAAAACAAUUGCAAGUCAUAAUUAUUAAAAACAAAAGCAAAAUCCAAGUUUGACACAUUUCAACAAUUUAAAUACAUAAUAUAGCCUUUAUAAUAAGGUAAAUUAACUUGAUGGCAUUACUCCUAGCGACCACUAUCCCAGUUGUACUACGGUUGAAUAAAAUUUCAAAUCAAUAAUCAAUUGACAACAGAAAGAGGAUCAGAAGAUAACCUCAAACCAAGCCACAUCAAAACAGAAAAGUGAUGCCUUGCAAUCCAACCAAUCAGUAUACUAACUCAAAGCAAUUUAUACCACUACUUCAUAGAACAGCAGUUGUCUGCUUCCCUCAACCUCCGGGAUCGUCAAAUGUUAUGCAUGUGUAUUUGGGCAAUAUGGAAGAACAGAAACGAUGUUCUUUGGAAAAAUGCUCAAUCAUCUACCCUCCAGACAGCAGAUUUUAUCCGACUUCCUGCAAUAAUGGCUUAGACUUUAGGGCUCAGCUUAUUUGGUCAAAACCCCUUCCAGACAAUUCCCUGUUGGUGAAUUCCUGAAAGUGGUAGCCUCCAGCCUCAGGAUAUCUCAAAUGUAACACGGAUGCAGCCAUUAAAUAGUCUCCAAACAGAAUUGGUGCAGGUUGGGUGCUGCGUACUGAUAAAGGUUCCUUGGUUAAAGCUUGCCAGACUAUUCAGUUAAGGCCCCAAGAUCCAAAGGCUGCAGAAGCCCUCUCCUUUAGUGAGGCUCUUAGUUGGGUCAAACACAAUGGAUUCCAAAAAGUUAUCUUCGAAUCAAACUCGCAAAUCCUCAUGAAGGCUAUUUGUAAUAGACAUAAGGAUUUAUCUUAUUUUGGAUCUGUUGUUUAGGAUUGUAUUUUCCUUUUAGAAGAGCUAGUUUCAUGCUCUGCAGUCUUUGCUCGUUGAUCAGCAAAGUUUGUCACCCAUCGCUUGGCACUGAUACACUGUUCUCAUUCUGAUCCUCAGGCAUGGGAUCCUGUCCCACCUGAUUUCCUUUAUGAUGUUCUCUUAUUAGAUCUUUCUAAAUGAAGUUUUCCGUUAUUUUCCCCAAAAAAAAAGGGUACUGUCCCGUAUUUAUAAAUAGUGUAAUUCAAUCUUCCUUAGUAUGCAUAAAAGAUGUACUUUUUAAUGUAAGUGCUGGUACAAGAUAUUCAUAAUUGACUCUCUCUAGGCCUCUCAUCACCAAUAACCGGUAAAACACAUUAAUUUUUACCUUGUUAGCUUUGUUUCAUUUCAUCCCAAUUAAAUGGGUAUCAGAUAUCUAUUAGAAGAAACUCUUCAACUCUCAUUUCCAGGAAUAGAAACCUCAAAUAAUUCUUAUCUCUGUGUUUGCAGAAUGCUCAACCAUUCCACAAUACAGAAAUAUGCAAUAUAUAAACACAAUAGAAAUUGGCAAGUAUAAAAGAAUACCUUGACAAAGAACGGGGCUUUGGCGACCCAGAGCGAGACCGAGAAACAGAUCUAGAUCUGGAUCUUGAUCUUGACCUAACAGGUGAGCGGCGUGAAGAUUUGGUUUUAGGAGA